UACGGAGGAUGCAAGCGUUAUUCGGAUUCACUGGGCGUAAAGGGUGCGCAGGCGGUCGUGUGUGUCAGAUGCGAAAUCCCGGAGCUUAACUCCGGAACUGCGUCUGAAACUACACGACUAGAGCAUUGGAGUGGGAAGUGGAAUUCAUGGUGUAGCAGUGAAAUGCGUAGAUAUCAUGAGGAACACCAGAGGCGAAGGCGACUUCCUGGACAAUUGCUGACGCUCAGGCACGAAAGCAUGGGGAGCAAAAGGG
rnacentral:rRNA from 1 species